AGAGAGGAGGUGUGUGCAAUGGCUGUACCUCAACAAUGGGCACAUCUGGUUGAGAAUCAGUUUGUAAAUCCUGGAUGGGUUGCAGAUUUUGAACUUCCACAAGUUCAACAGACCUCCCACUGCAUCCUUUUUGGAUAAACUUUUUUUUCAAGAAAAUGACAUGCCUACUAACAAACACCUUUUAUUGAGUAGGACGAUAGAAGUAGUAUCCUAUACUCCUCUUGGGAUAACCCAUAAAUCUGUAUUUUUCUGAUCUAGCAUCCAGCUUAUUUUCAUCAAUGUAUUUCAUAUAAGUUGGGC
rnacentral:lncRNA from 1 species